rnacentral:rRNA from 1 species
CACGUAGGGUGCGAGCGUUGUCCGGAAUUAUUGGGCGUAAAGGGCUCGUAGGCGGUCCGUCACGUCGGGAGUGAAAACUCGGGGCUUAACCCCAAGCUUGCGGUCGAUACGGGCAGACUUGAGUUCGGCAGGGGAGACUGGAAUUCCUGGUGUAGCGGUGAAAUGCGCAGAUAUCAGGAGGAACACCGGUGGCGAAGGCGGGUCUCUGGGCCGAUACUGACGCUGAGGAGCGAAAGCGUGGGGAGCGAACAGG